CUCCCGGUGGCCAAGCUGGCUAAGGCGCGAGACUGUAAAUCUUGAGAUCGGGUGUUCGACUCACCCCCGGGAGA
rnacentral:tRNA from 5 species